rnacentral:rRNA from 1 species
UACGAAGGGGGCUAGCGUUGCUCGGAAUCACUGGGCGUAAAGGGUGCGUAGGCGGGUCUUUAAGUCAGGGGUGAAAUCCUGGAGCUCAACUCCAGAACUGCCUUUGAUACUGAAGAUCUUGAGUUCGGGAGAGGUGAGUGGAACUGCGAGUGUAGAGGUGAAAUUCGUAGAUAUUCGGAAGAACACCAGUGGCGAAGGCGGCUUUCUGGACGACAACUGACGCUGAGACGCGAAAGCGUGGGGAGCAAACAGG